rnacentral:rRNA from 1 species
GACGAACGCUGGCGGCGUGCUUAACACAUGCAAGUCGAACGCUGAAGCACCAGCUUGCUGGUGUGGAUGAGUGGCGAACGGGUGAGUAAUACGUGAGUAACCUGCCCUUGACUCUGGGAUAAGCCCGGGAAACUGGGUCUAAUACUGGAUGCUACAUGUCACCGCAUGGUGGUGUGUGGAAAGGGUUUACUGGUCUUGGAUGGGCUCACGGCCUAUCAGCUUGUUGGUGAGGUAAUGGCUCACCAAGGCGACGACGGGUAGCCGGCCUGAGAGGGUGACAGGCCACACUGGGACUGAGACACGGCCCAGACUCCGACGGGAGGCAGCAGGGGGGAAGAUUGCACAAUGGGCGAAAGCCUGAUGCAGCGACGCCGCGUGAGGGAUGACGGCCUUCGGGUUGUAAACCUCUUUCAGCAGGGAAGAAGCCACAAGUGACGGUACCUGCAGAAGAAGCGCCGGCUAACUACGUG